GAUGAACGCUGGCGGCGUGCCUAAUACAUGCAAGUCGAGCGAAUGGAUUAAGAGCUUGCUCUUAUGAAGUUAGCGGCGGACGGGUGAGUAACACGUGGGUAACCUGCCCAUAAGACUGGGAUAACUCCGGGAAACCGGGGCUAAUACCGGAUAACAUUUUGAACCGCAUGGUUCGAAAUUGAAAGGCGGCUUCGGCUGUCACUUAUGGAUGGACCCGCGUCGCAUUAGCUAGUUGGUGAGGUAACGGCUCACCAAGGCAACGAUGCGUAGCCGACCUGGGAGGGUGUUCGGCCACACUGGGACUGAGACACGGCCCAGAAUCCUACGGGAGGCAGCAGUAGGGAAUCUUCCGCAAUGGACGAAAGUCUGACGGAGCAACGCCGCGUGAGUGAUGAAGGCUUUCGGGUCGUAAAACUCUGUUGUUAGGGAAGAACAAGUGCUAGUUGAAUAAGCUGGCACCUUGACGGUACCUAACCAGAAAGCCACGGCUAACUACGUGCCAGCCGCCGCAGUAA
rnacentral:rRNA from 1 species